rnacentral:lncRNA from 1 species
UUCAUUAUUGCAUUUUGAUUAAUUAGCGACUAAUUACCAUGUGUCACCCGUCACCCCGUUAUCGUCACCGCUGACG